GAACAAUUCGAGAACACAUUACAGUGUUGUUUAGUGUCAAGGAGCCAGAUUGGUACGUGGCAACCAGCACUGAACCAGGCACAGCUUUAAGUUUCUGAUUAUAAGUGAGGAAACUUGGGUGGCUCUGCUCCCUUCUUUGCUGAUGAGUUUAGCCAAACCAAGCUCUGGCUCGCAGCCUUCAUAUCUCCCAAUGGAUGCAUUAAAAUACUUACCACAUGAGAGAGAAUGAAAUGACUAUAUUUCCUGGGCACAGGACUGAUCUGAUUUGAAUUUCUGGAAGAGUUUGCUGUUUCAGUGUACUAUUCUACAAGGCCAAAUGUAUUAUACAUGUGUUACUCUGCAUGCUGAAUAGAGCUGGGACUGUUUAACUUUCAGAAGAGAACACUCGAGAGGACAUCUUAACAACAUUUUUAAAUACCUGAUGGGAGGGAGUAAAGAGCCAGAACUUGAUUUCUCAGUGUUGCUCAGUGAAGGGAUAGGAGGCAAUGGGCACAAAAUGACACACAGAAAUGACAUUUGAACAGACUUUUUUUUAAUAAAAUGAUGAUCAAACGCUGAGAUGGUGAUCUCCGGAGACGUUGUAAACUCUCUGUUCUUGGAAAUACUCAAACCCCAACUGGAUAUAGUCCUGAACAUCUUGCUCUAACUGACCCAGUUCUUCCUCUGGGGUUGGACAAGGUGUUCUCCAGAGGCCCCUUCCUACCUCAGGUAUUCUAUGGUUCUAUGAUACUCCCAUAGAGAGCAAAGAGAAACAACUCCUCAUAAAAA